GACGAACGCUGGCGGCGUGCUUAACACAUGCAAGUCGAACGGAAAGGCCCUGCUUUUGUGGGGUGCUCGAGUGGCGAACGGGUGAGUAACACGUGAGUAACCUGCCCUUGACUUUGGGAUAACUUCAGGAAACUGGGGCUAAUACCGGCUAGGAGCUCCUGCUGCAUGGUGGGGGUUGGAAAGUUUCGGCGGUUGGGGAUGGACUCGCGGCUUAUCAGCUUGUUGGUGGGGUAGUGGCUUACCAAGGCUUUGACGGGUAGCCGGCCUGAGAGGGUGACCGGCCACAUUGGGACUGAGAUGCGGCCCAGACUCCUACGGGAGGCAGCAGUGGGGAAUAUUGCACAAUGGGCGGAGGCCUGAUGCAGCAACGCCGCGUGCGGGAUGACGGCCGUCGGGUGGUAAACCGCUUUCGCCUGUGACGAAGCGUGAGUGACGGUAAUGGGUAAAGAAGCACCGGCUAACUACGUG
rnacentral:rRNA from 1 species